rnacentral:tRNA from 2 species
CGGGGUGUGGCGCAGUUGGUAGCGUGCUUGACUGGGGGUCAAGAGGUCGCAAGUUCAAGUCUUGUCACUCCGA